GCAAACAAGAACAGGUCUAACAUUCAGAAGAAAUUGGACUUGAAUCUUCAGGCUGAACCAAGAAAGAGACACACCACACCAGACUGGGCUGACAAACUCCUUCCUCCUCCAACACCAGGAAGCAAGUCCCCACUUGGCAGGAAGGAAGUGCUAGUCACAAGACCCAACUGCCACUCCCAGUUUGCCCCUUCCCCCACAAACUGUCAUUCUUAAUUUCCUUUCCACACUGGAAAGGUAAAAAGGUCUGGAAUAGCAUCUGAGAAAAGCAAGAAAAUAUUUCACAGAAGAUGCCCAGAUGUUCCCUUCUAACAGUGAUAGUGUUGCCUGCAAGUGGACUACAAGAUAAUAGAAGCUGGAUGAUUCUUGACAUGGAGGAGCAGACCAUAGGAGGGGACACACACAGAUGUGAAUUCCCACAAUCUUACCAUGGUCUGGAACUGAACACAAAAUCUUGGGGAAUGCCUGUACAUUAGAAGACAUUAUCCUGGUCUCUAAAAAGCAAAACAAUAUAGAAUUUUAUGGAUUACAAAGAAUUUCUACUUACAAAUUUUCAAUUUCUAUUCACAACAACCCAGUAAGGUAGUCUGGGUAAAUAUCUUUAUCCCCAUUUUAUAGGUGCAGAGACAGAAACUCACAAGUUUUAGGGAAACCAUGAACAGUUCCUAGAACUUGUUUCCAGUCUCUCCCUUUGCUUUUCAUGUGGUACUCCAAAUUAGAUUGAAAUCGAAAUAAUAUCAUAAGAUAAAGCAGUUUUCUUUUCUUUUUAAAGAGUUUAAGCACAAAGGCCCACAAUACAGAAAUUAGAAGCCUAAUGCUAACCCUUCACCAAGUAAAUCCUUCUAAUGAAAUGAAAAAUGGGGGUAAUCAGCCUUCACUACCAUACUGAAAUAUUUUGCAGGUCAUUGGGUUAAUGUAUGAAAACAUGUGGAAGAAAGUCACUAAAGAAUUAUUAUUAGGGGCUCCCAUAGGCAUCAUACUUAUCCUGAACAUAGAAGUUCAUGAUUCAUCAAACAAAUAUGAACUUACUACUCCCAUUUCCAACAUUUAUGCUGCUUCAUCAUCACAAGAGUGCUAUGGAUAUUACAUAGACACCAUGUACCACCAUAGUGACAA